rnacentral:tRNA from 3 species
GGAUGUAGUUCAGUUGGUUAGAGCGUCAGAUUGUGGUUCUGAAUGUCGUGGGUUCGAAUCCCACCAC